rnacentral:rRNA from 1 species
UACGUAGGGUGCAAGCGUUGUCCGGAAUUAUUGGGCGUAAAGGGCUCGUAGGCGGUCCGUCACGUCGGCUGUGAAAACCCGGGGCUCAACCCUGGACCUGCAGUGGGUACGGGCAGACUAGAGUGCGGUAGGGGAGAUCGGAAUUCCUGGUGUAGCGGUGAAAUGCGCAGAUAUCAGGAGGAACACCGGUGGCGAAGGCGGAUCUCUGGGCCGUAACUGACGCUGAGGAGCGAAAGCAUGGGGAGCGAACAGG